UCUGGUGACGCUCGGGCAGUAGCCGGACUAUCCCCUCAUUUCCGGUGAGAUCAGGACUCGAUGGUCCAGGGGCCGGAAGUUUGUGUUCUGUGCAUUUGAAAUCAGGCGCGCUGCCGCACAGCUGUGAGGACGGUCACGUGACUGCCGCCAGCGAUGGAUCUGUUAGAGCAGUUUCUCGCUGGGGAUGAAGAAAAUCUUUGCUCCUGCGCUUUGGAGGAACUCAAGAAAAUUGUCCAGCUCUUAGCCGAUCAGGUCCGGUCAAAACGAGAGGAAUUGUGCAAGACCAAAGCCGAGGUGCAGAACCAGGAGGCCGAGACCGCUAAAAGAAGUUUGAGCAGAGAGUUUCUCGUCUCCCAGUUGGCUCAGAUUAUGGAUCUGCAGGAAGCUCUGGAAGAAGAAGAGAAAAUGCAGCAGCAGCUCCAGGCGGUGACACAUGAAAUGGAAAGAUUUAGUGAAGCUCGGGGCUCAGAGUCCUGUGACGCCUUGGAAAUGCGAAUUAAGGAAGCUGAAGACUUCUUGUCCACUUGCUGUCAGCAGGAAAAGGCGCUUCUGGCUGAAGUAGAAAUUCUGAAGACGUCGCUGGAGAAAUCACAAGCUACACUGGGACAGACGGCGUCCGAGCGUCAGGCAGGUGAGGUGCACGAGUGGAGACGGAGCUGCUUGCUCUGCAGAACACUCUCUCUGCCCAGAGCCGCCUGGCACAUGGUGAAGCCGCCCUGGUGCUCAGCGCAUGUAUAGAGGAAAUGGGCUUGCAGAAUGUUAUACCAGGAAAGCUGCGCAAAAAAUGAGAUUCACCUCGAUGCUGACCAGAAGGGAAACUUCCGUGAUCAGUGUAAAAACAUGAGGACUGUGAAUCAUAGGCCAAAUCUUCGUGCAGUCCUGGAACUCUCCUGCAGGGGGCGUAUGGUGCCAAAUUAAUUUAUUUCAGUAGCAUGAAGGAAUUGAUGCUAAAGCCUGGAGCCAUUUCUAUCUCUCGUCAUGUCUUCUGUCAUCUGGAUGAUCGCCGUGGGACACUGUUUUUGAGUAAUGCGUCAAAUGUUUUGUAAAAUGACGUAUCGAAGCGCUGUACAAGCUUUCUGUGUCUUUUGUUAAGGCAUCGCUCUUGUCUU